UUAUGGCUCAGGAUGAACGCUAGCUACAGGCUUAACACAUGCAAGUCGAGGGGAAACGAUAUUGGAAGCUUGCUUCCGAUAGGCGUCGACCGGCGCACGGGUGAGUAACGCGUAUCCAACCUGCCCAUCACUUGGGGAUAACCUUGCGAAAGUAAGACUAAUACCCAAUGAUAUCUCAAGAAGACAUCUGAAUGAGAUUAAAGAUUUAUCGGUGAUGGAUGGGGAUGCGUCUGAUUAGCUUGUUGGCGGGGUAACGGCCCACCAAGGCGACGAUCAGUAGGGGUUCUGAGAGGAAGGUCCCCCACAUUGGAACUGAGACACGGUCCAAACUCCUACGGGAGGCAGCAGUGAGGAAUAUUGGCCAAUGGGCGAGAGCCUGAACCAGCCAAGUAGCGUGCAGGAUGACGGCCCUAUGGGUUGUAAACUGCUUUUAUAAGGGAAUAAAGUGAGCUACGUGUAGCUUUUUGCAUGUACCUUAUGAAUAAGGACCGGCUAAUUCCGUGCCAGCAGCCGCGGUAAUACGGAAGGUCCGGGCGUUAUCCGGAUUUAUUGGGUUUAAAGGGAGCGUAGGCCGGAGAUUAAGCGUGUUGUGAAAUGUAGAUGCUCAACAUCUGCACUGCAGCGCGAACUGGUUUCCUUGAGUACGCACAAAGUGGGCGGAAUUCGUGGUGUAGCGGUGAAAUGCUUAGAUAUCACGAAGAACUCCGAUUGCGAAGGCAGCUCACUGGAGCGCAACUGACGCUGAAGCUCGAAAGUGCGGGUAUCGAACAGGAUUAGAUACCCUGGUAGUCCGCACGGUAAACGAUGGAUGCCCGCUGUUGGUCUGAAUAGGUCAGCGGCCAAGCGAAAGCAUUAAGCAUCCCACCUGGGGAGUACGCCGGCAGCGGUGCAACUCAAAGGAAUUGACGG
rnacentral:rRNA from 1 species